rnacentral:rRNA from 1 species
GACGAACGCUGGCGGCGUGCUUAACACAUGCAAGUCGAACGUGAUUUUUGUGGAAAUUCUUUCGGGAAUGGAAAUGAAAUGAAAGUGGCGAACGGGUGAGUAACACGUGAGCAACCUACCUUACACAGGGGGAUAGCCGUUGGAAACGACGAUUAAUACCGCAUGAGACCACAGAAUCGCAUGAUAUAGGGGUCAAAGAUUUAUCGGUGUAAGAAGGGCUCGCGUCUGAUUAGCUAGUUGGAAGGGUAAAGGCCUACCAAGGCGACGAUCAGUAGCCGGUCUGGGAGGAUGAACGGCCACAUUGGAACUGAGACACGGUCCAAACUCCUACGGGAGGCAGCAGUGGGGAAUAUUGCACAAUGGGGGGAACCCUGAUGCAGCGACGCCGCGUGAGCGAAGAAGGUUUUCGAAUCGUAAAGCUCUGUCCUAUGAGAAGAUAAUGACGGUAUCAUAGGAGGAAGCCCCGGCUAAAUACGUG